rnacentral:tRNA from 1 species
GUUAGCGUGGCAGAGACCGGUAUUGCAAAAGACCUAAGCCCUUUCCACAGGGGUUCAAGUCCCCUCACUAACU